ensembl:lncRNA
CCCAGACAUGAAAAGAAGAACUCAGAGUUUCAAUUUCUUAAAGAUGACUUCAGCAUUCAGGACCAACAACAUGAAAAGCAGUUUCCUGCUCAUUAUGUUCCUGCUGACAGCCUGUGAGAUGUCACAACAGAAUGAAUGCAGAACAUGGGUUGAAGUCACCUGCAAGACACUAAAAACUAAAGAAACACAUUAUGUAAAGUAUGAAAGCAACCAAAUCCCAAAGGCGGUCUUCAGGGAACUUAAAAGUGAGGAAUCCUAUAAGAAAAUGUGCAAGAAUUCAUCUGGCAAAGAGAAACCGUCUGUGAAAAGCGUAUGCCUGAAGCAAUUUAAUCAAAUUGCGUACAGAACAACUAAAACCACGAUCAAAUGUGAUUAUGAAGGAGACAACAAACCAUUUUUUUUCUGCAAAGACAAUAACUCUGUCUGUGAGAACAUGGUAUUAUCUCCUCAACAGUCAAACAGCAGAUUCACUUUCACAAAGACAAACAGAAACUUCAUCCUGUCCAUCAGUAACGUGUCCUCACAGGAUGAAGGUGUCUACUGGUGUGGAGUGAAAUUUAAAAAAGAGGUCGUGCUCCAGAAAAUACAACUGGAUGUGGAACAUAUUACUAAUUUCACAAGAUCACCAGCUGCUGGUCAGAACUUCUCAUACUGGUGUAAAUGCAAAGAGAAGGCCUCACCUUCAAAAUCAAUCUGUAAGGGAGACGAUCCAUCUAUAUGUCAAACUCUAGUAACGACCAAUGAGCCUGAUAAGAACAAGAAGUUUUACAUAAAUGAUAAAGACAGGACAAAUAUUACUGUUACAAUAAGAAAUGUAACAGCAGAUGACAGCGGGACAUACUGGUGUCGAGCGAAAAACGACAACCAACAAAUCUGCAACAGACUGAUCCUGACUGUAGGAUCACCAACAACAUCCACGUCUACCAUUUCAUCAACUACAGCGACGACUACAGCGACGACUACAGCUGCAGCUGCAGCUGCUGGGACACGUGGCGUCUCUGAGGCCAUCAUUUCUGUGAUCGUCUGUGUGGCUGUGCUGCUUUUUGUGAUACUGAUGAUCCUAAUCUAUAAACGAUUUUCACGUUCAAAAAACACAGGAAAUGGUGCAGCAGCAUGCCGUACCAAAGAGGUUUGUGUGGAAAUGUUGCUUUUUUUUACUGUGCAACACUUCUGCGGCAAACAAGAUCAAAACCUCGUUUUCUUCCCAGUGUGUUCAUCCGAAGUUCACCGUGCACAGGAUCUCUUUUCUUUAUCUGGUUUCACUUUCCCAGUCUAGGUGUCAGCAUGUUCACAUGAAGGAGGCGCUGUUGGCAGCAUGUCACUGAUCAGGAACAGUUUUAACCUCGUUCUUUCAUCUGCAAUCACAGCUCAUGGUCAUUAGUUUUUAGUUUACUGUCUUACCUUAGACAUAACCAACUCAGCAUAACCAGUGUUGGGAAGGUUACUUUUAAAAUGUAUUCCACUACAGAUUACAGAAUACAUGUCCCGAAAUCUACAGUGGGAUGCAAAAGUUUGGGCAACCUUGUUAAUAGUCAUUGUUUUCCUGUAUAAAUCGAUGGUUGUUACAAUAACAAAUGUCAGUUAAAUAUAUCAUAUAGGAGACACACAACGUGAUAUUUGAGAAGUGAAAUGAAGUUUAUGGAUUUAAAGAAAGCAAAGACUUCACCAUAAACAGACAUGUAAAUGUUAUUUCCACACACAACAGUUGUGUAGUCAGAGUUCUCUCACAUGACCAAAAAUAAUGAUCAUAUUACUUCAGUAAAGAAAUCAAAUACACUGCUUUAAAAAAAUAAUAAUUUCUCAUUCUUCCCGUGAAGGACUGUACCUAUGAGGAGAUACAGGAGCGCCUCCAGCUGCCAGACUCAGAAAAUGCAACAAACACAAUUUAUGCCACCGUCAGCUCUCCAAACCCUGUGCCCUCAACACAUUAUGCUACCAUUAACUUUCAAAACUCCGAUAAAGCUGCUGCUGAGACAGUCAGACUCGGCUACUCUGCCUGUGAAUAUUCUACUGUGAAGUUUCCCAAAUGUCGAACUGACUCGAGUGACACCCAACUGUACCCGCCGACCGAGGAGCCGCUCUACUCAACAGUCAACAAGCUAAGAAAAUGAGAUCAUUUAUUUAAAGAAUAUAACAGAUUUAUGAAUAAAAAUAAUGUAUUUAGUGUUUGAGUCACAGUGAUUUUGUGAUGGUGUUUUGGUGCUGAUCUGUUCUGAGAUCUUAGAUUUUAUUUCCCCGUGAAGAUAAUUGGCGCGAUAUGGCAGCCUCGCUUCUGUCAGUCUGCCCCAGGGCAGCUGUGGCUACAACUGUAGCUUGCCUCCACUAGUGUAUGAAUGUGAGAGUGAAUGAAUAGUGGUAUUGCAAAGCGCUUUGGGUGCCUUGAAAAGCGCUAUAUAAAUCCAAUCCAUUAUUAUUAUUAUUAAAGCCUAUCAGGAAGAUACGGACCUGCCUCUUUCACAGGAGGAGAAGCCAACAAAGAGGUCAAGUGCUUUUGUACCACACUGUGGUACGAUACACAACAUCCACACUUAGAGCCACUGACUUUAACCACAAUGAAUGUGAAAGUAUCCUAAGCAUCUGGAUUGAAUAAUAAUAUAUCAAAAGAAUUAGCUGUUAUUUAUAACUUAACUCUCUACAGCACAGCAUUGCUGCUGGGCAACAACAUGCCCAGUACAGGUGAAAUGAACUGAGCCAACCAAUCAGAGUGUUGGAAAAAGUAUCAAAUUUCAGUCCUAUAAGAUGUUCGAGUCACUGUCGAGCAGUAUUAGUACGGUGGGGCAUCCUGUUCUGACACAUGGUCACAGGACCAGAUGAUGUGUGAAGCUGCCAUUGUAAGUGUAAUUAAAAUGACAAACUGUAAAUAAAAGAGUACAUGUGAGUGUAAGAAGAUAUAGAGGGUUUUUUUUUCAUGUUUCAUGCUGUGUUUUCAUUUUGAAUGUUAAAAAAAAUGUUUUUUCCUUCUUUCCAUUGCCCUUGUGUGAUAAAGGGAACUUUUUAAGGGAGCCAUAUGUAAUACACACACACACACACACACACACACACACACACACACACACACACACACACACACACACAGAUAUAUAUAUAUAUGCAUGUAUGUAUAUACCACUCCUAUGUUCUUUGUCCCACUUCAGUCUAAGAUCGUCUGUAACCAUGUAACCAAAACUAUGAAUUGUAAUUUUAAAUGGUUUAAAAGUAUAUAGAAUAGCAUAUGUAGGCAAGUAUAUUUCUCCUUUUGUUAUCAAGAAGCAAAGACAGAAAGGGGAAAAAAAGAACAAACAGGGCAGGGUUUGGUGGUUGAAUCAUCCGUCCCCACCAAUGCCAAAACCAAAUCUACGCCCUUGGACUAUAAAAGUCAAAGUGAAUUGAAUCAAGAGUAAAGAUGAGGAUUCCUGUGUGCACAGAAACAAAAAAGUGAUGUGUCUGAAGUGCAAUGUGCACCUCUGUUUUACAGCACAGAACUCUCUCUUCAACACUUUCUAUUGUUUUUAUUGCUUUCAGUUGUGUUAUGAUCUAUGAGUUAUGUUUAUAUAUAUACUGUUGUUGCACAAUGUUUCCUCUAAGCAAUGAAAAAUAUCUUGAAGAGGUUGUCUGGAAUACAUUUUUUGUAUCAGUCAGUAAAUGAUGUUAAAUCAUUUCCAGCAUGUACCACGAAAAUGUGUGCAGUAGUAGUUAAACAGUUUGCUUGACUUCAAUAUUUUCAUGCUUAAAUAUAUCCACGGUGCUGUGUGUAUCGGACAUAUUGUUUACAUCAGUGUUUUUGCUUUGUAAGAGAUAAUUUACCCCUGCUGUACAUAGAAACCGCCUGGAAGCUGUCCGUCUGUCUACGGUGCAGUUUUAUGAGUUAUAAUGUGACCAGUUUUAAUCGGGGGGAUAAUUUAUCAUGUUUAUUCAACAACUGUUUGUCAGUUUUAUAUUUGUC